AGGGAUAAUCAGACCGCCUGCUA
rnacentral:misc_RNA from 1 species